rnacentral:lncRNA from 1 species
AGACAGAAGGUGGAUAGACAAAUCUCCACCUUCAGACUGUCUGACUACCACCCAACCUUGAGGCACAGUGAAGACAUCGGUGGCCACUCCAAUAACAGCAGUCACAGCUGCUCUUCUGGAGGUGUCCUACAGGUGAAAAGCCCAGCGACCCAUCAGGAUUUAAGUUUACCUCAAAAAUGGAAGAUUUUAACAUGGAGAGUGACAGCUUUGAAGAUUUCUGG